CAUCCCUGCCUUUCCCUUCACCGGAGCUCUCCUGCCAGGAGUCACGGGCAAACCCCUCAGCCCCCCCCUCCCCCCCUUGCUGGGCGCUGGAUGCAGAUAUGAAGGGCAGAGAGAAGGGAAGAUUGCAUCCUACGCCAUCAACGCAGAGCCGGAUGCUGGCUCCAACUCGCAAACGUGGUGGGAAUGCAGAGUCUGAGAAGAUAUGUACAGACUUCUGGCUCAUUACAUGGCAGG